GAUGAAGAACGUAGCGAAAUGCGAUAAGUAAUGUGAAUUGCAGAAUUCAGUGAAUCAUCGAAUCUUUGAACGCACAUUGCGCCCGCCAGUAUUCUGGCGGGCAUGCCUGUUCGAGCGUCAUUUCAACCAUCAAGCCCCAGGCUUGUGUUGGGGACCUGCGGCUGCCGCAGGCCCUGAAAACCAGUGGCGGGCUCGCUGUCACACCGGGCGUAGUAGAUUUUGUCUCGCUCAGGGCGUGCUGCGGGUUCCGGCCGUUAAAAAGCCUUUUUUACCCAAGGUUGACCUCGGAUCAGGUAGGAAGACCCGCUGAACUUAAGCAUAUCAAUAAGCGGAGGA
rnacentral:misc_RNA from 1 species